UUGGGAGAUUUUAAUGAAAUUCUACUCUCGUCGGAGGAGGGAGGGAAUAUGAGACCAAAUGUAAUGAUGAGAGAGUUCCGUAAUUGCUUGGUAGAAUGUGGUUUAGAAGAUAUGAGAUGUAUGGGUGAUCCAUUCACAUGGAGGAGAGGUGAAAUCAGGGAAAUACUGGAUUGAGCAGUCAGCAAUGUGGAUUGGGAAAAUAAAUUCCCUCAAGUGGCAGUCAUAAACGAAGAACAUGUACACUCGGACCCUCAUCCUAUCAUUUUAGACAUGGAAUAUUACGAUGAUAAUAUCUUUGAUCGCCCAAGAAGUCGGGUGAAACAGUUUGAAUCCCGAUGGCUCAAAGAAGAUACGAUCUAG
rnacentral:rRNA from 1 species